UAAUACAGAGGUGGCGAGCGUUGUUCGGAAUUAUUGGGCGUAAAGAGCACGUAGGUGGAUUUGUAAGUCAGGUGUGAAAGCCUUCUGUUCAACGGAAGAAUUGCAUCUGAAACUGCAAACCUUGAGUAUAGGAGGGGAGAGUGGAACUUCUGGUGGAGCGGUGAAAUGCGUAGAUAUCAGAAGGAACGCCGGCGGCGAAAGCGACUCUCUGGUCUAUAACUGACACUGAGGUGCGAAAGCUAGGGGAGCAAACGGGAUUAGAUACCCCGGUAGUCCUAGCCGUAAACGAUGGGCACUAAGUAGGGGAAACUACCGAUGUUUUCUCUGCCGUAGCAAACGCAUUAAGUGCCCCGCCUGGGGAGUACGGCCGCAAGGCUA
rnacentral:rRNA from 1 species